rnacentral:rRNA from 1 species
GACGAACGCUGGCGGUGUGCUUCACACAUGCAAGUCGAACGAGGUAGCAAUACCUAGUGGCGGACGGGUGAGUAACGCGUGGGAAUCUGCCUUUAGAUGGGGGAUAACGGGUCGAAAGACUCGCUAAUACCGCAUACGACGAAAGUUGAAAGGAGUAAUCCGUCUAAAGAUGAGCCCGCGUCCGAUUAGCUAGUUGGUAGAGUAAAAGCCUACCAAGGCGACGAUCGGUAGCUGGUCUGAGAGGAUGAUCAGCCACAAUGGGACUAGAGACACGGCCCAUACUCCUACGGGAGGCAGCAGU